GACAGAGGGUGCAAACGUUGCUCGGAAUCAUUGGGCGUAAAGCGCGUGUAGGCGGCUUGUUACGUCGGGUGUGAAAGCCCAGGGCUCAACCCUGGCAGUGCACCCGAAACGGGGAAGCUGGAGUACUGGAGAGGCGAGUGGAAUUCCCGGUGUAGAGGUGAAAUUCGUAGAUAUCGGGAGGAAUACCGGUGGCGAAAGCGACUCUCUGGACGGCAACUGACGCUGAGGCACGAAAGCGUGGGGAGCAAACAGG
rnacentral:rRNA from 1 species